rnacentral:lncRNA from 1 species
ACUUCCAAUCCCCAUGCACCAGCAUUUCCCUGCAGCAGCCUCAUUAAGGGCUGGUUUCAAAGCUCCUUCACAGGAGAGGAUAAUGAUGCCAAGGAAGAGCAGAUUUCUUGGGGGAAAGGGCAGGAGAGCGCUGUGAGCCUAAUGUGGAAACAGGCUCCCACUCCUGUCUCCACCACAAGAAGGCCAGAGAAGAGAACUGGGUCCGGGAAAGAGGGUCAUGGCUCUUCUUCUCUGUCCCAGCUGGCGCUCAGGCAUGGCGGGGGUCUUUGGACCUUGGCCUCCAGGCAGACUGCUCAGAGAAGGGAAGAGGACAGACUACAAGGCAGAGCCUCUGAGCAGACGCAAGAAAGGCCCUGGGAGACUGGAGCCAUGCCUAACACCAGCCCCUGCCCACAUUCCCCGUCGGAUGGGGCUUGUGCUGGGGUCUGCCUGGAUCGCCUGCUCAUCCACGAGGCAGGGAAGAAGCAGCACGCGGCUCCUCUCCCACUCAGGACGUGGGCUGUACACUGCACUUCUUUGGGCUUCAGCUUCUGCAUCGGUAAAGCACACCGAGGGACAUUCAUACUUCACCAGAUUCUUGAGUGAUUUAAAUAACCCCCUACAAACAAGCGCUUAGAACAGAGCCUGCAAAUACCAAACCCUCACUAUUUAUCUGUUGUUUUCACCAUUUAAUAAACUAAUCCCCGACAUAGGUACAGUGGUUAGAAUCGUGUCACAGAGGAGAAAACUGAUUUGAGAGACAAUAAUGGUUUACCUAAUGGCGUCCAGAAUGCAAGUGCCUGGGAUUCCUGAACUGACUGUCCAACUCGAGGGCUAUUAUUACCUCUUUGUUUUUAGAUAAGAAGGCAAUGGUGUGUGUCUUGACAUUCUGUAGAGUAAUUCUACAGUUUACCUAAAAGAAUAAGGAAGAAAUGUUUGUUUAAAAAAAUAGAAAAAUAAUGGGUGAUAAGUCAUACAUGAUUGCAUCAAAAAGGUAAACAUUUCUAUGUGAAAAUAGAAGAUAAUUAGGGUGAAGGCAGUGUUCUUUAUCUUGAUUGUGGGGUUACACAACUAUAAUUGUAGCCAAAAUUUUUUAAAAUUUACAUUUAAAAGGGGAGAAUUUUGUGUGUGAAAAUUAUACCACCAUAAAAACUUGAGAAAAAGGUAAUUAUAAUUUAAAAAGGAAGAAAUCAACUAGGCAGAAAUGUUGCCUAUAACAUAUUUGCUAGAGCACCAACCAAAGCCAAACAAUCAUAACCUAUGGCCCAGCAGUUCUAGCCCUGAGUAUACACCCAGAAAGGAGCACAUAUCUGCCAGGUGAAAUGUAAAGAGAUGUUCCUAGUUGCUUUAUCUGUAAUAGCUCCAGAUUACAAACAACCCAAAUUUCCAUCAACAAUAGAAUGGUUAAGAAAUCGUGGUAUUCAGACAAUAGAAAACUACAGAGAAAUGAAAAAGAAUGAACUCAAUAUAUAACAUAGACGAAUUUUCCAAACCUAAUGUUUCAUUUCAGAAGCUUAACCCAACCAAACACACACAGGAUGGCUCCAUGUGUAAGAAGUCUGGAACACGCUAAGCUGGUCCACAAUGACAGAAAAGUCAUGACUUGGCAGUGGCCACUGCUAACUGGCAGGGGACAUGGGAAGCCUUAGGGUGCUGGG